rnacentral:rRNA from 1 species
CGAGGAUUCCCAUAGUAACGGCGAGUGAAAUGGAAAAAGCCCAGCGCUGAAUCCAUCGAUCACUGGUCGCUUGGAAUUGUAGCGUAUAGGUGCGGCUGUCCGCUCGUUUCGUGCGCCCAAAGUCCCCUUGAGCGGGGCCAUAGUCCAAAGAAGGUGCUAGACCUGUACGGGAGGCGAGACGGUCGGUUGGUCGCUCCUUGGAGUCGGGUUGCCUGGGAUCGCAGCCCAAAGUUGGUGGUAGACCUCAUCUAAGGCUAAAUAUGGCCACGAAACCGAUAGCAAACAAGUACCGUGAGGGAAAGUUGCAAAGAACUUUGAAGAGAGAGUUCAAGAGGGCGUGAAACCGCCGAGAUUGAAACGGAUAGAGUUGACGAAACUCGAUCGCAUUCAUCCGAUCCGCCUAGCGGUUCGGCGGUUGUUGACUUCCUCGAUGAGGGCAACGCCGUCGCUGGCUGUUGGGUGUUAGAUGGGUGUAUUUGCGGUCGGUAUGCGCCGAGAGCUUUGCGAACGUAUGUUGGCGUUGAUGUAGUGGACACUCCUCCGGGCGUGGAACCCUGCACUGACUGAGGCAUGUCGUUUGUAGGGUGUUGCUGGUUGACGUCUCCGCUAUGGUGCGUCGGCUUUGUCGGACUGUUGUGGCUACUGGGUGAUCGCAUGCGAGCGCCUGUGGUUUAUGAUCGUACGAUGAGGUGCAGACGCGCUUGAGACGUGCAUCUCGGUGUGAACGUUGACCACCUAUCCGA